rnacentral:tRNA from 2 species
GGAGAGGUGGCAGAGCGGUUGAAUGCGCCGGUCUCGAAAACCGGUAAGGGCCUUUCGGUCCUUCGGGGGUUCGAAUCCCCCCCUCUCCG